CCAAACUUGGUCAUUUAGAGGAAGUAAAAGUCGUAACAAGGUUUCCGUAGGUGAACCUGCGGAAGGAUCAUUAUUGAAUUUAAUGAAGAGUUUGGUUGUAGCUGGCCCAAUAAAUAAAUAAAUAAAUAAAUUUGGGCAUGUGCACACUUUUCUCUUUCAUCCAAUAUACACCUGUGCACUUGUGAGACAGAUUUAGGGGAACUUUUAAUUUUUUUUUGAAGGGGACCCUGCUGUCUACUUAAUUUAUAUAAACUCAAUUUAUUUUAAAAUGAAUGUAAUGGAUGUAACGCAUCUAAUACUAAGUUUCAACAACGGAUCUCUUGGCUCUCGCAUCGAUGAAGAACGCAGC
rnacentral:misc_RNA from 1 species